AGUAACACGUGACUAACCUACCCUUGAGUGGGGAAUAACUGAGGGAAACUUAGCUAAUACCGAUAAUACCUACGGGUCAAAGGAGCAAUUCGCUUAAGGAGGGGGUCGCGGCAGAUUUACUAGUUGGCGGGGUAAUGGCCACCAAGGGCAGUGAUCUGUAUCCGGCCUGAGAGGGCGCACGGACACACUGGGAACUGAAACACGGUCCAGACUCCUACGGGAGGCAGCAGUGGGGAAUUUUGCGCAAUGGGGGAAACCCUGACGCAGCAACGCCGCGUGGAGGAUGAAGCCCCUUGGGGUGUAAACUCCUUUCGAUCGGGAAGAUAAUGACGGUACC
rnacentral:rRNA from 1 species